rnacentral:rRNA from 1 species
GAUGAACGCUGGCGGCGUGCCUAAUACAUGCAAGUCGAGCGAACAGACGAGGAGCUUGCUCCUCUGACGUUAGCGGCGGACGGGUGAGUAACACGUGGAUAACCUACCUAUAAGACUGGGAUAACUUCGGGACACCGGAGCUAAUACCGGAUAAUAUAUUGAACCGCAUGGUUCAAUAGUGAAAUUCGGUUUUUCUGUCACUUCUAGAUGGAUCCGCGCCGCAUUAGAUAGUUGGUAAGGUAACGGCCUAGCAAGGCAAGGAUGCGUAGACGACCGGAUGGGGGGGUCGGCCACACUGGAACGGAGACACGGACAAUGCGACUGAGGGAGGCAGCAGUAGGGAAUGUGAGGCAAUAGGCGAAAGCCUGACGGAACAACGGCGAGUGAGAGAUAGAGGUCUUGGGAUCGUAAUAAUCGGUUAUGGGUGAAGAACAAAUGUGGAAGUAAAUGUACACGUAUUGACGGUAACGAAUCAGAAAGCCACGGCUAACUACGUG